UUCCAAUUCCCUUUUCACGUCAGCCUAUCUUCCUCUUUCUCUUCCUCUGUUUCAAAAAUAAAACAAGCUAUGUUAGUGUUUUUUUCAACAAAACUCAAAAAUAAACCCCCAUUUAUUUACUAGAUCUAAGCUUCCAUUCGAGAAGUGACAGAAGAGAAAGUUGCUCAUUGCCACGCUGCGGUGCUAGUGAUCUAGUUUUCGACGCGAC
rnacentral:lncRNA from 1 species